rnacentral:rRNA from 1 species
CCCUUAGAUGUCCUGGGCCGCACGCGCGUUACACUGAUGCAUUCAACGAGCUUAUAACCUUGGCCGAGAGGCCUGGGCAAUCUUGUUAACGUGCAUCGUGAUAGGGAUAGAUUAUUGAAAUUAUUAAUCUUGAACGAGGAAUUCCUAGUAAACGCAGAUCAUCAAUCUGCAUUGAUUACGUCCCUGCCCUUUGUACACACCGCCCGUCGCACCUACCGAUUGGAUGGUCCGGUGAAGCCUCGGGAUUGUGGUUCUUGCCGCUUGAUUGUGGCGUGACCGCGAGAACUUGUCUAAACCUUAUCAUCUAGAGGAAGGUGAAGUCGUAACA